UACGGAGGAUCCGAGCGUUAUCCGGAUUUAUUGGGUUUAAAGGGUGCGCAGGCGGGAGAUUAAGUCGGCGGUGAAAUUUUGCAGCUCAACUGUAAAAGUGCCUUCGAUACUGGUUUCCUUGAGUGUGGAUGAAGUAGGCGGAAUUUGUGGUGUAGCGGUGAAAUGCUUAGAUAUCACGAGGAACUCCGAUUGCGCAGGCAGCUUACUAAACCACUACUGACGCUCAGGCACGAAGGCGUGGGGAUCAAACAGGACUAGAUACCCUGGUA
rnacentral:rRNA from 1 species